rnacentral:snoRNA from 1 species
GAAGAAGCAAAAUGAUGAGUAAUACUUACAUGAGCCAAAGUGAGUGAGCUCUGUGUGUUUGUGUGUGUGUGUGUGUUUGUGUGAUGGCUGAUUGUGAGACUUGUGUGCCUUAUAAUUGGGCAGUGAUAGCUAAACUGAUAAGAUCUGAUUGCUUC